UGUUAUAAUUGUUUGUUUGUGCUUUAUAUUAAAUAUUCUAUACAAUUGCAUCGAGAGAUCCACUCUCCUUAUAAAAUAUCUUAAACACUGAAUGACACAGCGACUGUGUGGGAUUGCAUCAGUGUGUAUAAGUAGCGCUUUAGGAGCAUAACAAAGCUUCCUUUCUUAGGGAAGUCGUUGUGGCCGAGUGGACUUACGCACUGGUUUGACAAUCUUGCUAGGCGGUGGGUGCCGUACGUCGCUGGUUCGACCCCGGGCUGGGGCGAAAAUUUUCAGUACCUAGUUGUGAUUAUUUAGUGCUUUAUAUAUAUAUAUAUAUAUAUAUUCUUUCUGUUAAAUCGCUAUCUAUGCUGAAUACAUGUAUGAAAAAGUGAAGUGAAACUGUGAUCGAUCUCAUAAUUACUAUUUAAAAACAAGGAGCCCUGGACACACCAGUGGUGAGAUCUGGUUCCUAGGAGGAGUAAGUACCCCCUAUUGACCGGUCACAGUCGCCAUGUAUGUACAUGUAUCCAUAGAAAGCUCUUCCUCAGCACCAAGGUACAUGUAAGUAAAUGUUGAUCUGGGGUUACCGGUAUUUGGGAAACGGAGAGAACGGUCACGAGUUCCUUAUUGGAUGAAAGAAAGAAACAUUAUAAGCUGAUUCUUGGUCUAAAUGUUGCUUAAAGACAGACAAUGUGCCAAAAAUAUUUAAUCGGGCUUACUUGCAAUUGGCAGAGACAGUAACUUUAUAAUGGAGAGAGAAAAGUUCAUGCACCAGACAGGAUAUCACUUCCAGUAAAGUCUUAAGAAAAUAUAAUAAUUUCUUAAGAUGCGUAUCGAUUUAUCACAAGCAAAUAAUGACCGAGCUAUCAUUUUUCAUUAUUGUAAGUGUGCCUCUCCAAACCUGAAUUAUUGGUUGUCUGGCAUGUGACAGUUUGAAUACCGAAUUGCAAAUAAGGAAGUUUGAGAAUUUAAAAAAUAGAAAUGACAAUGACAGGGUGUCUUGGGGAGCGUUGGUUACCCAACACGUCCUUUACAUUUACACCUUUUAUUGUUCUUGAAUAAUUUACAAUUUUGCACCCUGAGAACAUCAAUAAAUACCUCUUUUCCCAUAGUCUAACAACUUUAAUCUGUUUAAAUUGAGCCCCGUUAUCACAAAAUCUAUCUAAACUGUCAGUACUAUCUUAUUAAAAUUUUAGACUAUGUCAUGUCUGCAUAAAUGAACAGCAAAUAACUUGUUGAAAUUUUUAUCAACAUUUUGAGAUACGAAAGUUCACAAUCAGCUGAAACGUUAAUUUCCUUGUUUAAAACUCUCCUUAUCAAUAUCUUUCAAAAUACUUGCAUAUAGUUUAUAAUAUUACUGCUUAACGUCACAGCAGUAUUUUCCUGCAAGUUUUCAUGCAUGAUCCAUCAAAUUCCUUUUUGUAAAACACACAAUGUAUUGUUAUUGAUGAAAAUUUACGUAUUUCUUUCUUAUCUUACUCCUUUUCUAUGUAAGAUUUUAAUAUACUGCACAGAAGUAUCUCUGGAAGUUAAAGUGAUAUCUCUAUUACAUUUUCUGAAGGAGAUACCUCUAACUUUAAAAGAUAUCUCUUUAACUUUGAGAGAUAUCUCGUAAAGUUAGAGAGACAUCUCUUUAAGUUAAAGAUAUAUCUAAGAGAUAUCUCUUUACCGAUGCAAAAGAGAUUUAUCUUAAAGUUAGAGAUAUCUUUUUCAGAAAAUGUAAUAGAGAUAUCUCUUUAAGUUAAAGACAUGACCUUAAUGAAUUGACUACAACGGUUACUCCCGUGUAUGACUUUCGCCUUUUGUAUGACGUAUUAGGGGUGCACAUGAUCUAAAAAGCUGAAUAUGUAGAGGAGGUUCUCUCUACCGUGUUGAACAGUAGAUCUAGUAUAUGUGUUGUACAAAGUAAAUAAAUGAUAAUAUAUAUG